AAUAAAUAACUUCCUUGAUCAGAUUGGUACGGGAGGUGUUUGUUAGAGAGAGGUGAAUGAACGUGCCUUCUGUUACUGCCGUUCUUAGUUCAUGGUGAGGACAAAGAUGAGGAGUUUAAACUGUUUCUGCUGUUGCAAAAACAAAGAAGAAUCAUCCGAACAACAGUGCAUUACGUCUAAUGUGUCUGAUAAGGAGACGGAAGACGAUGAUCAGCAUUCAUUGGUACAACCGAAACUUUGAAAAGGCUGAAAGAUAACAGAAAGAAAUCCUCGAUGAUACCCAAGGAUCAGAUAAGGGCUAUAUUGGACGGUCGUUUUGCCGAGAAUAAACAAGCAAUCAAAAUAGCAGAGACGUUUAUCAACGAAAGUGUUGAGCUUUGCUGGCUAAUGGCUGUACAAGACCCACCAGUUUAUGUGGACAGUAAUGUCAACAAGUGCCUGUGUUGUUUCUCAUAACAGACGGUCCUUUGUUAUCGAAAGGCAUAGCACAGGGAUUGGUUGAAGAAAGACAAAGUGAAGAGAGCCCAACAAUGAAAGAAGAUUGUGGUAAAGAAACUCCUUCUGAGAGCACAAAACUUUAGAGCCAAGGUGUUUGGAUUCAUUUUCUACUAGAAAUGAAAUUACAUUAAAUAUCACCGUACUAAGGCGGUACCUAACAAUCCUUAAUAAACUUACCUAGUUAUUUAUAUAGUAUAUAUGAACUGUGUUAUUUGUGAAGUUUUGCGCUGUUGAUCCAUGAUUCUUGUUUGUUUUUGCGUCUAUGUCUUUGGCGUUUACCCUGUGCCAUUAAACGGGGUUUAUCUAUAAACGUUUGGCUACUGAAUUUGUUUUGUAGUUUUCCAUAUAAAUAUUAUCUUAU